GUAGGUGGCAAGCGUUGUCCGGAAUUAUUGGGCGUAAAGCGCGCGCAGGCGGUCCUUUAAGUCUGAUGUCGAAAGCCCACGGCUCAACCGUGGAGGGUCAUUGGAAACUGGGGGACUUGAGUACAGAAGAGGAAAGCGGAAUUCCACGUGUAGCGGUGAAAUGCGUAGAGAUGUGGAGGAACACCAGUGGCGAAGGCGGCUUUCUGGUCCGUAACUGACGCUGAGGCGCGAAAGCGUGGGGAGCAAACAGGAUUAGAUACCCUGGUAGUCCACGCCGUAAACGAUGAGUGCUAAGUGUUAGGGGGUUUCCCGCCCCCUUAGUGCUGCAGCUAACGCAUUAAGCACUCCGCCUGGGGAGUACGCCGCAAGGCUG
rnacentral:rRNA from 1 species